rnacentral:rRNA from 1 species
UACGUAUGGAGCGAGCGUUAUCCGGAAUGAUUGGGUGUAAAGGGUGCGUAGACGGGAAUUUAAGUUGGUUGUGAAAUCCCUCGGCUCAACUGAGGAACUGCAACCAAAACUGAAUUUCUUGAGUGCUGGAGAGGAAAGUGGAAUUCCUAGUGUAGCGGUGAAAUGCGUAGAUAUUAGGAGGAACACCAGUGGCGAAGGCGACUUUCUGGACAGUAACUGACGUUGAGGCACGAAGGUGUGGGGAGCAAAC